CAAGCGGUGGAGCAUGUGGUUUAAUUCGAAGCUACGCGAAGAACCUUACCAGGUCUUGACAUCCUCUGCCAUGGAUAGAGAUAUCCAGUUCCCUUCGGGGACAGAGUGACAGGUGGUGCAUGGUUGUCGUCAGCUCGUGUCGUGAGAUGUUGGGUUAAGUCCCGUAACGAGCGGAACCCUUGAUCUUAGUUGCCAGCAUUUAAGGUGGGCACUCUAAGGUGACUGCCGGUGACAAACCGGAGGAAGGUGGGGAUGACGUCAAAUCAUCAUGCCCCUUAUGACCUGGGCUACACACGUGCUACAAUGGAUGGAACAAAGGGCGGCGAAGCGGCGACGCUUUAGCAAAUCCCACAAAACCAUUCUCAGUUCGGAUUGUAGGCUGCAAUUCGCCUGCAUGAAGCAGGAAUCGCUAGUAAUCGUGGAUCAGAAUGCCGCGGUGAAUACGUUCCCGGGCCUUGUACACACC
rnacentral:rRNA from 1 species